AACUGCAGAGCUUCCUGACAUUGACACUCCUCAAAUUUAUUUAGAAUCAUGUGGAGAUUGAUGUUUAGAAACAAAAAAAUCACCGGUUUGGGCAAAUGUGACUCAACCUUGCCUGAGACAAAAUCAGCUACCCCAGUAGAGGUAAGAAAAAUUCAUGUUGGUUGAUUUUCUUUCAUGCUUAUAUGAGCUGCAUUUG
rnacentral:lncRNA from 1 species